UACGUAGGGGGCAAGCGUUGUCCGGAAUCAUUGGGCGUAAAGCGCGCGUAGGCGGCCCUGUAAGUCCGCUGUAAAAGUCAAAGGCUCAACCUUUGAAAGCCGGUGGAUACUGCAGGGCUAGAGUCCGGAAGAGGCGAGUGGAAUUCCUGGUGUAGCGGUGGAAUGCGCAGAUAUCAGGAGGAACACCGGUGGCGAAGGCGCACAUCUGGCCCGAUACUGACGCUGAGGCGCGAAAGCUAGGGGAGCAAACGGG
rnacentral:rRNA from 1 species